rnacentral:rRNA from 1 species
CCGGGAUAGCCCAGGGAAACCUGGAUUAAUACCGGAUGAGACGGGACCCGCGAUGGCGGGACCCGGGAAGGCGCUGCGGCGCCGCCGGGGGAUGAGUCUGCGUCCCAUUAGCUAGACGCGGGUAACGGCCCACCGUGGCGACGAUGGGUAGCCGGCCUGAGAGGGUGGACGGCCACAUUGGAACUGAGACACGGUCCAGACUCCUACGGGAGGCAGCAGCUAAGAAUCUUCCGCAAUGGGCGAAAGCCUGACGGAGCCGACGCCGCGUGAACGAAGAAGGCCGUGACGGUUGUAAAGUUCUUUUCGGGAGGGGGAACAACCGUGGCAGGGAAUGGCCGCGGGAUGACGUGAAUCCCGGAAUAAGCCCCGGCUAACUACGGUGCCAGCAGCGGC